rnacentral:rRNA from 1 species
CCUACGGGUGGCAGCAGUGGGGAAUAUUGGACAAUGGGCGAAAGCCUGAUCCAGCCAUGCCGCGUGUGUGAAGAAGGCCUUCGGGUUGUAAAGCACUUUCAGUGGGGAAGAAAGCCUUGGGGCUAAUACCCUCGAGGAAGGACAUCACCCACAGAAGAAGCACCGGCUAACUCCGAGCCAGCAGCCGCGGUAAUACGGAGGGUGCGAGCGUUAAUCGGAAUUACUGGGCGUAAAGCGCGCGUAGGCGGUCUGAUAAGCCGGUUGUGAAAGCCCCGGGCUCAACCUGGGAACGGCAUCCGGAACUGUCAGGCUAGAGUGCAGGAGAGGAAGGUAGAAUUCCCGGUGUAGCGGUGAAAUGCGUAGAGAUCGGGAGGAAUACCAGUGGCGAAGGCGGCCUUCUGGACUGACACUGACGCUGAGGUGCGAAAGCGUGGGUAGCAAACAGGAUUAGAUACCCGUGUAGUC